rnacentral:rRNA from 1 species
AUUGAACGCUGGCGGCAUGCCUUACACAUGCGAGUCGAACGGUAACAGGUUAAGCUGACGAGUGGCGAACGGGUGAGUAAUGUAUCGGAACGUGCCCAGUCGUGGGGGAUAAUUGCUCGAAAGAGCAGCUAACACCGCAUACGACCUGAGGGUGAAAGCGGGGGAUCGCAAGACCUUGCGCGAUUGGAGCGGCCGAUAUCAGAUUAGGUAGUUGGUGGGGUAAAGGCUCACCAAGCCGACGAUCUGUAGCUGGCCUGUGAGGACGAUCAGCCACACUGGGGCUGAGACACGGCCCAGACUCCUACGGGAGGCAGCAGUGGGGAAUGUUGGACAAUGGGCGCAAGCCUUAUCCAGCCAUGCCGCGUGCGGGAAGAAGGCCUUCGGGUUGUAAACCGCUUUUGUCAGGGAAGAAAAGGUUCUGGCUAGUACCUGGGGCUCAUGACGGUACCUGAAGAAUAAGCACCGGCUAACUACGUG